rnacentral:misc_RNA from 1 species
UCUCCGUUGGUGAACCAGCGGAGGGAUCAUUACCGAGUUUACAACUCCCAAACCCCUGUGAACAUACCAUUUGUUGCCUCGGCGGUGCCUGCUUCGGCAGCCCGCCAGAGGACCCAAACCCUUGAUUUUAUACAGUAUCUUCUGAGUAAAUGAUUAAAUAAAUCAAAACUUUCAACAACGGGUCUCUUGGUUCUG